ACAGCAUUCUGACCGUCGGUCUGCCGAGCAAUAUCACCCGCGCGUUGGAAAGUCUUCCCCUUGUUGU
rnacentral:pre_miRNA from 1 species